rnacentral:rRNA from 1 species
UACGUAGGGCGCAAGCGUUGUCCGGAAUCAUUGGGCGUAAAGAGCUCGUAGGCGGCCUGUUGCGUCCGCUGUGAAAUCCCGGGGCUUAACCCCGGGCGUGCAGUGGAUACGGGCAGGCUGGAGGCAGGCAGGGGAGAACGGAAUUCCCGGUGUAGCGGUGAAAUGCGCAGAUAUCGGGAGGAACACCGGUGGCGAAGGCGGUUCUCUGGGCCUGUACUGACGCUGAGGAGCGAAAGCGUGGAGAGCGAACAGG